UCUUUCUUUCUUUCUUUCUUUCUUUCUUUUCUUUCUUCUUCUUUCUUUCUUUUUCUUUCUUUCUUUCUUUCUUUCUUUCCUUCUUCUUCCUUCCUUCCUUCCUUCCUUCCUUCCUUCCUUCCUUCCUUCCUUCCUUUCUUUCCAUUCAUGAGAGACCCAGAGAGAGGCAAGGACACAGGCAGAUUCCAGAUGCUCAACCGCUGAGCCCCCCAGGCACCCCUUAUUCAUAUAUUUUAGGGAGAGGGCAUGUACAACACCCCUGUGCCCAGGAGCGAGUGGAGGAGGGCAAGAUGGGGAGGGAGAGGCAUAAGCAGACUCUGCACCAAGUUUAGAGUCUGAGGAGGGGCUGAAGUCCAAUGCUAAAUCCACCGAGCUGCCCAGGCACCCCAGAAAAAGCAUCUUUUGAGUCGCGGCAAUUUGGGCCUGUUUAGGUGGCUUCUUUCUGUAACACGUUUGUGGCACUUGCCAUGCACUAGGCAAUGUUUUUGUGAAGCUCAACAAAUAUUAACUCAUCGUGACCCUGCAACAACCCUACGAAGUAGAUACUACUCUCCCAUUUCCCAGGACAGAAAACAGAGGAACAGAAUCUGGUUAAGUAACUUCUCCGGGACUACACAGCUAGCAAGCAUACAGUAGGUUAGACCAUACUGCCUCUACACAACAGAAGACUUAUCACCGUAAAUGGAACACGUUAGUUCUUGUAGAAGUCGUAUCUCUACAGUACAGAGCAACGAGAUCUAGCUCCUAAAGCAACCUCUUAAUUGACAGGGGUCCCUCUUGAGAGUUCCAGUUCCAGCCUAGCCACCGCUCCCAGGCUCAAACUCCCACAGGCACUCCUGCCCUGUGCUGAGGUCGGCCAGCCCGCUGUCUACAGAAUUAAGCCCAGCCCUGCUAGUACAGCAUCCCCGGCUCCCUGGACAGGGUCUACACUGCACGCUCUCUCUGAAGUAGGCCACCUGCCCUCAGCACGUCUGCUUUCCCUGCUGCCUUGAAUGUCUUUCUCUCUGCAGCUUCUAAACCAUCUACAAUUCAUGGACCAUGAGUCUGUGGAACCUUCGUAUUUCCCUAGAGGCAGAAAUAACAUCUCUCCUUUUUAUUCCCACCAGACCUUGUCCCUGGACCACAAACUUGCCUCAUUCUGCCUCUGAGUUCUGCACGCAUGUUUAACAUCCUCUGUUAAAGUCUUGGUUUCUGGAGGCCAGGUACCUCGUCACAUGGCAUCGAUGCCUGCCAGAACAGGACCGCAGUAAACGUCCAACCGAAUCAAACCCGUUUCUAUUUUAAAAUGUCAACUUUAAAAAUAUAUAUAUUUUAUUUAUUUAUUCAUGAGACAGAGCGAGAGAGAGAGAAAGAGAGGCAGAGACACAGGCAGAGGGAGAAGCAGGCUCCAUGCAAGGAGCCCGACGUGGGGCUCUAUCCCGGGGCCUCCAGGAUCACGCCCUGGGCUGAAGGCGGCACCAAACCACUGAGCUACCCGGGCUGCCCCAAAAUGUCAACUUUUUGAUUGACUCAUGUACUACUUGCUUCUGAGUGGCAUUAUCUGCCUAUACAUCUAGCCUUCCAAUAUUACCAAUGAGAUUUCACUUUGUCCUCAUAUUUUAUACAGGACUUUAUUUAUUGUGACUAACAGAUCAAUAAUAUGUGGUGAGAUUCCUAGGUCAGGGCUCCUCCCCCUUGUCUUUCUGACUGAGAUGCUAACUGGAUCUGUCUCUGAAUAAUGGAAGACGUGGGUUAGAACCACUUUGUCGCUAUUGGCUCGUCACUGUAGGCUGCUUACACAUACCUUCUAGGCCUCUCUCAUGGGGACAUUUGUGAGGACUGCUGAGAUCAAAAAUAGAAACCUCUGAGAGAAACAAUAACGAGUGUUAACGGGCUGGGAACUCGGUGUGUUAUGUGUAGAACACACUCAAGCUUCACAACAGACUUAUGGAACUAC
rnacentral:lncRNA from 1 species